rnacentral:lncRNA from 1 species
AUUCCCAGUAGGACAGGCCCAUGCCAUCCAAUAAUUGCUGGCUAUCUGCAAUGCUUGGAAUGAUGAUUGAGCAAGUAAAAUUAUUGGAACAAAGGCACCACGUUUCACGAUGGUCAAGUAAGACCAGUAAACUUCCUUCCCAAUACUUCCCUUUUCUCUUUCUUCAUCCUGUACCAACCGUCCUUCUUUUUCUGCUAUUUCAACACAUAGAUUGUGCUCGGAAUCUUGUUUCGUGUGUGGAAAUUCUGCAUUUGGAUUAGGUUCUGAAUUAGAUUCACCACCAUCAGUUUCAUGAUUGAAAGUUCUACU